UACGAAGGGGGCUAGCGUUGCUCGGAAUCACUGGGCGUAAAGGGCGCGUAGGCGGCGUUUUUAAGUCGGGGGUGAAAGCCUGUGGCUACAACCACAGACUGGCUCGAUGACUGGACGCUUGAGUAUGGUAGAGGUUGGUGGAACUGCGAGUGUAGAGGUGAAAUUCGUAGAUAUUCGCAAGAACACCGGUGGCGAAGGCGGCCAACUGGACCAUUACUGACGCUGAGGCGCGAAAGCGUGGGGAGCAAACAGG
rnacentral:rRNA from 1 species